rnacentral:lncRNA from 1 species
CUUCUUUUACAACGAAAUUAUUUUCCAUCCAAAUGAUAAACUUGGAUUUAUCUUGAUCAUCAGGGAGUUUAAAAACCUUGUCUUCGGUUGUUGAACAGUUUUUGUUUAUUGUGGAUCCCUGAAACAUAGACAAAACAUAAGAUUUUGCAUAUAUAAUCAAAAUAAACAAUCCUUCAAAUUUGUAAAUGUUCUUCAAAACCGUUCACUUGAAAUCACCAUAGUCAAAACAUAUUAAAUUUUGAUACCUUUUCAAUAACUGGCCAUAUGCAUUGCAGUAACUUCAUAAAACAUGAUAGCAAACACUUUCGCAUUUUUUAAUUUCUUGUCUCUGUGAGUAGUCUUU